GUACCUUUCUCGGCCUUUUGGCUAAGAUUCAAGUGUAGUAUCUGUUCUUAUCAGUUUAAUAUCUGAUAUGUGAGGUCUCGCCCUCACAACGGUAUUAAAUUUACUUUUUGUGGGGGAGAGCUCGCCGCGGUAGCUUGCUACCUGGGUUCUCAAGUGUCGCCCUAGUUUUGCACUGUAUAGCUCGGGCCUGGCACACCCCAU